rnacentral:sRNA from 1 species
CACAUGUGAGACUGGGCAUGAUUCAGAAAAGCUGGAAGAUCUAGAGAGGGAUCUUGCAAUCUGAAGUUUGUUUAGUCACUGGAGGUGAGCCCGAGAAUUUGCAUUUCUGACAAGAUCCCAGGAUUUGAACGUCUAUGACACUCUUCCGAGCUGACACAGUGAAGAACAUGGAAGGAGAACUCACCCAGUCUGCCAGGGUCACAGAUGAUCAUACUCAAGAUCUUCCUGGGGAGUCAACGGCAAAUUUCACUGGGCUACUUUACAGAUGAAGAAGGAAUAUAAAGAAGGUUCUGGGACCCUGAAGUCCACGGAACACCCACCAUUACCUGAUCUUUGGAGCUUGUCAUUUGGCCAGUGGACCCUAAUAAACAUGUCCACGGGGAUGUGGGGAUGGAAUGCCGGAGCCUGGCUCGCUAGGGCAUCCAGGUUCUUCCUCUUUGCCCUGCUGUCUCCAGGCACCAAGAAUCUCCUGCAGUUCCCCAAAGAUGAACCCCCCAGUAUCUCAGGUCACUCUGUUUCCCUUGAUCUUUACCAAAUUCCUGACUCAGAGUUCCUCCCAUUUGCUUCUGACUCUCAUUUUAUUCUUAUGAUGUUUACCAUUUCUGUUCUCCUCAGUGUCCCUCUCUGAGUGCUAAGAGUAUGUUAAUAAGCCAGUGCUCAGACCACAGCACAAGGCAACUGCUCAGUGUCGGUCAUUAUCACUGUUAU